AAACCAUGGUGAGGGCAUUGAUUUAGAAGAGUCUUGAAGCGCUCCCAUGUCUCAUGGAACAGUUCCCCAUGAAGUUGUGAAAAAUAAAAUAUCUUUUCUCGAAACU